rnacentral:rRNA from 1 species
CAGUAGGGAAUCUUCCGCAAUGGACGAAAGUCUGACGGAGCAACGCCGCGUGAGUGAUGAAGGCUUUCGGGUCGUAAAACUCUGUUGUUAGGGAAGAACAAGUGCUAGUUGAAUAAGCAGGCACCUUGACGGUACCUAACCAGAAAGCCACGGCUAACUACGUGCCAGCAGCCG